rnacentral:rRNA from 1 species
CCGUUCCUUCACCUCGAUCCCCUUCUCUGGUCCUUUUCUCAUCUGAUCCGCUUCGCCUCUACUGCUUCGCCUCUCCUCGUCUCCGUGUGAUUCGCCAUCACCACCUCGCCGCUUCCCUACUGGUUGUGACGGCGGCGCUCGCUGGAUGGCAUGGUGGAGGUGGUAGAGGGUGGCGGAGGCGGAGCAGUCGAGGUCCUCGGCGUCGCGCGUGUGGUGGGGCAGAAAGUGGAAGGGGAAGAAUGACGCCAUCCAGAGAAGGAGGCAUAGGAUCUAAAAGAUCGAGCCUGCCCCUCACGCAAGCUCAAGAAGGAGUUUUCCGGGUGUGUGGAUGAUAGUUUGUUCAGCAGCAUGGACCAUGCCAUGAAAUUGGUGACGGCAAGACUCCCAGACUCAUAUGACAAAAAGGAAGGAGUUACAGGAGAUGGAACCACUGGUGGGGCGGUAGAAUUUUUUUCUGUUGAGGGCGAUAGUGUGUAGGAGCAACCUUUCCUUUUUAGGAUAAUGUGUGGACAUGUAUUUACUUUUUUGGGGUGUGUGCUCCAGGGGACUAGCCAGCCAACGGUUGCUGGCUAGCCGUCGUUGAAAGGUGUAGAAGCAACGACAAUCUAGAGACCGUAAUAAUUUCUGUGUUUUGCAUUCCCAGGCAGAGUAACAAUGAAUCGCCACUAUUGUUUGGAUAGGAAGAGGGAGGGGAGAAGGAAUCUGCAUUUUUGAGUGCAAGCGGGGCAAGUUGCAAGCAGCACUUAGACAAGCACAUGUCAAUAGGGACAAAACUCUUCUCAUUUUUCGUGCAAAACGGAUCCAUGGUUUUUUUAGGUGAUACAAUAUUAAACCAUAGACACAGUGUGCGUUUUCUUUUGUCACUGCCCUCGCAACGGCGGCGGAACCCCAACAGCUCCACCUUCUUGUGGCACGCCGCGCACCGGUUUGCUGCCACCGCCGGCUGUUUCACGGAUGGUGGCACGGAGCGGUCAAAAACUGUUAAGUAUGUGAUUUGCUUGUUAUUUUUUAGGCAAACUCUGUGACUUUGCAUGUUUCUGAACGUGUAGUUUACCUAACACACAACCCCCUCUCCCUCCACACUUGAUGUUUGUUUAGGCAAAUUAUUUCUAAGUUUUUUCAAACAAACUAACCUAUAACUUACUCUGUUUGGUGAAUUGUUUGGACUAUGUACUAGCUAAUUGUAACCUGUGGAGAGAUAGUCAAGCAUAUAUGUUUUGCAAGAAGAGGACAUGUUGUAUCUUUUUACCGAGCUUAGAGGCACUUUCAGAGUUUUAGAACUGGGAUUCACUUUUGAUCAAC